rnacentral:rRNA from 1 species
AGUGAACGCUGGCGGUAGGCCUAACACAUGCAAGUCGAACGGCAGCACAGGAGAGCUUGCUCUCUGGGUGGCGAGUGGCGGACGGGUGAGGAAUACAUCGGAAUCUACUCUGUCGUGGGGGAUAACGUAGGGAAACUUACGCUAAUACCGCAUACGACCUACGGGUGAAAGCAGGGGAUCUUCGGACCUUGCGCGAUUGAAUGAGCCGAUGUCGGAUUAGCUAGUUGGCGGGGUAAAGGCCCACCAAGGCGACGAUCCGUAGCUGGUCUGAGAGGAUGAUCAGCCACACUGGAACGGAGACACGGUCCAGACUCCGACGGGAGGCAGCGGUGGGGAAUAUUGGACAAUGGGCGCAAGCCUGAUCCAGCCAUACCGCGUGGGUGAAGAAGGCCUUCGGGUUGUAAAGCCCUUUUGUUGGGAAAGAAAUCCAGCUGGCUAAUACCCGGUUGGGAUGACGGUACCCAAAGAAUAAGCACCGGCUAACUUCGUGCCAGCCGCCGCCGUAA